AAUUUUUUCAUUUUUAUCUUUUUCUGGACUUUAUAAUAAAGAUGGAACGUAUCACAUAGGGAUACAAUUCAGAUAAUAGGCAUACAUACAAAGUACUAACAAAACAGUUAAACUUUUACCCAACAAAACGACAAAUAACAUACCAAAAAUUGCAAAAUAAAAGGACGUUGAUGUUACUUUUUUUUUUUUAAUUCUAGAGCACGUAGUUAUUGAUUUUUUCAGAACGACCCCAACAAAAGUUGUGAUUUGCACAUCAACACCCCCACUUAAUUAGUGUAAUUUUUCAGUGCGGCCCCUUCCUCACAAGCUUUAGCUUCAGGUGUUGGCUCCACCGUCGGCGACGGAGGAACCGCCGUACACAACAAUUCAGAUGGCAGACCGGGGAUCCCCUUCAAGUAAAAAGUGUAAAAUAGCUUGAAAGGGAAAAUGAGUUGCUGCAAUUUCACUUGACCGGAAACCCCUGCAAAUAUGCCGGAUCCACCGGUGACGGCUAGGUAAGUUUCUUCAUAGGUUAAGUACGCUCCCUGAACGGCGAUAUGACCGUAAUCGCCGAAGUAGAAGCUGUAAACAGCUUCAUAGCGAUCUCCUUUCUUCUCUUCUUCGUGCUUGAUCAGAAUGCAGAGUCCUGCUGUUAUUCCAAUUCUCUUCUUUAGAUCUGCAGUAUAUAGCUUGUUGCUAAAGGGGACAAGAUCUCCGAGUGAAUUAACAGUCUUUUGGCUCAAUCGAAGAUAAGCAGGGCUUCCACGAUCACGUUCAUUGAUCUCAUAGACACUAAGUUCUUGAACUUCAGUGUUAGUUGAAUCUGUUGAGGUGCUCUGGCUCUUGCAGGAAAAUGAUCUGGAAGCAGUAGUAGAGGUGGUAGUAAGUUUAUGAUUCUGAGAAAUGAGAGGGUUAGGUAGUUUAAAAGAUUGGAUCUUUUUAGUUUGGAAGGCAGAGGAUAGCUUGGAUGAGGAAGAAGAAAUGGUUCUAAGAGCAGCAGAGGCUGAGGAAACAGUGGCCAUUGCUGAACAAUUUGUUGGUUCUAGUGGUCAAAAAAGAAGACUUAAAUGAGGUUGUU
rnacentral:misc_RNA from 1 species